rnacentral:tRNA from 1 species
GAUCAGGUAGUUUAAUUAGAAUGGGAGUCUUGUAAAUUCUUAGUGUCCUUUUGGGUUCUGAUCA